rnacentral:rRNA from 1 species
GAUUAAUCCCCCAUAGCCUUUUUUAAUGGCAUCAUUUUAAGAGUAAAGGUUACGGUAUAAGAUGAGUAUGCGUUCUAUUAGUUUGUUGGUGAGGUAAUGGCUCCCCAAGACUGCGAUAGAUAGGGGCCCUGAGAGGGGGAUCCCCCACACUGGUACUGAGACACG